AGAGGACCGUUGGCCUUGCCUAUCAGCUUUCAUCGUGGAGGAGGCGUGGGUGGACCGAGGUACCACAAGUUGCCAGGAAUGCCUGACCAGAAACUGCUCUUGGAUGCUGGCCUGGGUGCUGGAAUAUGGAAAUGAGGAAGAUCCUGCCUGAGGAUUUCAUGACAGUGCUGCGAUUACCGACGUGAGCCACUGUGCCCAGCCUCACUUUAAAAAAAAAAAAAGGUUAUGAAGCAUCUCAACACAAGACCUCCUUUGCUCAUCACAACCACCCAGUGAAGCAGGCAAGACAACAGAAACUCCCCACCUGUGAUAGAUGUGAGGCCUGAAGUCUCCCACAUACCCACGGCAGAUGCAACGCACAGCGGUGACCAAUGGACAUGGUCCAAGCAGACCCUUUCCUGAGACUUUCUAAAUGGAGCUGUGUGAGAAGAGUUCCUUUCUGUUUUGCCUCUGGAGCUGAAGGUUGAGAACUCAGAGCUGCCCGUGUUCUACCCUGUGAAAAUAAAGGCAAUCAAUUCACAGAGACAAGCAGAAACAAGGCGUCCAGAGCAAGUCCUUCACAUCACCCUGGACACCCUGGCCCUGAUUUCCACUCCCUGCCAGGCUUGUUUGUCCAAUUCUUCUUUUUGUUCCAAGCACCAUCCCAGCAGGCUUAGUUACCUGUAAGCAUUUGGUUAAUCUCUCUUCUCAGCUAGACCGUAGGCUCCCCGAGUGCAGAAACUAUGUUUAUUUUGGUCUCUGCUGGAUCUCCAGCACCUAAAUAAAUGUUUAUGGUUGACUGCAAGGCAGAUCUGUGUGGGGAAUGAAGAAGAGUAUUAAGACCUCCCAGAUGGGCUGCUGGAGGCCUGUCCAAGGUGGAACUUUGCAUGGUGAGAAAUGCAAUUCAGUAGGAAAACAAAGAACUCCUUCAUCCUCCUCUAGAUUCUGCAGGCAAGUGAUCAGCUCAAGGUAAGAUUUUCUUUCUAUUAAGGGUCUGGAACUUCAUACUUCCAUAAUAAUGGGCAGACAUUAUUUUGGAUAUACUUUCUGAAGGGACAAUAUCAUAUUAUUUAUGAGACCUCAGUUUAGUUCCUCAGAAUCCUUCUUCCCCAAUUAGACACAAACUUCUUAUGAGUGGGUAUACGCCCAAGAGAAUUGAAAACAUGGCCACACAGAAACUUGCACACAAAUAUUCAUGGCACCUCCAUUCAUAAUACUUAAAAAGUAAAGCAACUAAAAUGUCCAUCAACUGAUGAAUAGAUAAAUAAAAUGGUGUAUCCAUAUCAUGAAAUAUUUGGCCAUAAAAAGGAAUGAAGUUUUGAUGAAUGCUACAACAUGGAUGAACCUUGAAAACAUUAUGCUAAGUGAAAGAAACUGGUCACGAGGGACUACAUAUUGUAUGAUUCCAUUUUUAUAAAAUGUCCAUCUCUGGUUUCCCUUCAGAAUGAAUAAAUCUUUUGCCUUUUACUAAAAUGUCCAGAAUAGGCAAAUCCACAGAGGCAGAAUAUAGAUUACUAGUUACUAAGGGCUAAGAGGAAGAGGAUGGGGAGAGACUGAUAAUGGGUAUGUAGUUUCUUUUUGGGCAUGAAAAUGUUCUGCAAUUGGAUAGUGGUGACAAUUGUACAACCUUGUAAAUAUACUAACACUUACUGAAUUAUACACUUUCAAAGGGUGAAGUUUAUGGCAUGUGAAUUCUACCUCUGUUAAAAAAACAACUUCUUAAGGGUAAAAAACCAAACUUUCUAUAUUUUAUAUCUAAAUAAAUUCUCAUAUUUCCUA
ensembl:lncRNA LINC00964 long intergenic non-protein coding RNA 964